GAUAAUAUGUUGAAAAAAGACAUAACAGCAUUAGCAAUCAAAACUUAAGAAUGGGACUCUUGUUACAUUACAGGAGCUGCUUGUGAAAAAUUUAUUUUCGAAAUUUUUAAAGACCGCGUAUGGUUUAAAAAUCCAAAAGACAUUAAAAAAGAAUUCCUUUCAAGUUUUUAUGGGAAGAAAAAAGCUUUCCAACAAAUCAAUGCCUUAGCCAUUCUAUUAUGGCAAAUUCCUUUCAUCGCUUCCAUUUAUUUCCUCCAUCUAUGAGUCAGCUCAGCUCUUCCAUGCCUUAUGUGAUAUACCUUUUUCCAUAUAAAUGGCGUCCGAGCAUUUAGCAUUUCAGCAGAGCAAACCUCCACAGAAAGCUUAAUGAUGAAGAGCGUAUCGGUCUGCCUCAUCUUCUUUCUCGUUCUCUUCACCACCACUGGUGACUGUGGGGUGGUAAACUGGACGAGAACUGAAGAGCCUAAUACAGUCGGAGGUUGUACGUCCCCGAUGCAGUGCAUCCAGAUCGACUGCGACAAUGCAUGCAAGGCCCUUUUCUCUGCCGAGGCCACUGGCACCUGUAUCGACGUCGACCGCUGUUCGUGUCAUUACCCAUGCGCCCGACAAUGAAUCAGGAUCUUUCUUUUUUCGCUUAUACUAUUUAUCUACUAUGUAGAAUGCAUCAAGUGCUACUAUCCGAAAUGCUACUCCCUCCCUGCAGCUUUCAUGAAUGAUCUAUUUCAAUAUA